GUGGGGUCUGCAGCUCAUAGAGACAUGUGGAGACCCAAAGUGUUCUGAUAGAAGUGUAGAGUGGGGUCUGCAGCUCAUAGAGACAUGUGGAGACCCCAAAGGGUUCUGAUAGAAGUGUAGAGUGGGGUCUGCAGCUCAUAGAGACAUGUGGAGACCCAAAGUGUUCUGAUAGAAGUGUAGAGUAGGGUCUGCAGCUCAGAGAGACAUGUUGAGACCCCAAAGUGUUCUGAUAGAAGUGUAGAGUAGGG